rnacentral:rRNA from 1 species
AUUGAACGCUGGCGGCAGGCCUAACACAUGCAAGUCGAACGAGUGGCGGACGGGUGUGUCAUGUCUGGGAACGUGCCUGAUGGAGGGGGAUAAUUACUGGAAACGGUAGCAAAUACCGCAUACCAUCAGAUGAUCCAUGAUGGGGUUAGGUAGUUGGUGGGGUAACGGCUCACCAAGGAGACGAUCCCUAGCUGGUAUGCGAGGGUGACCGGCCACACUGGAACUGAGACACGGUCCAGACUCCUACGGGAGGCAGCAGUGGGGAAUAUUGCACAAUGGGCGCAAGCCUGAUGCAGCCAUGCCGCGUGUAUGAAGAAGGCCUUCGGAUCGUAAAGUACUUUCAUCGGGGAAGCGGUACCCAAAGAAAAAGCACCGGCUAACUCCGUGCCAGCAGCCGCGGUAAUAC